UCUGAAUGCAACCACGAAAACAGUUUUUGUGCUCAAUUUUAAUCGUUCGUUUUAUUUUAAACUUUUAAUAUAAUUAAUAUUUUUUGUUGUUAUGAGAUGAUAAAACAUAAAUACUUCGAAAAAUUUAUGAGUGAUUUAUGUUUUUAAUUUUUUUUAAAAAAAAUUUAAAUAAGAAGGACGAUCAAAAUUGAGCACGAAAAAUUAUGGUUGCACUCAAA
rfam:Oryza sativa (indica cultivar-group) chromosome 4, whole genome shotgun sequence.